GAGAAAUCACGCCUCAUGUGCCGUGAUGGGAGCGGGAAAGAGGAGAAGAGCCUCUUGUAGGUUUUAUUCCGGGGCAAACCGUGGAGAUUGCAAGGAGAGGGGAGAACAAUUCGCCUACCUCAUCAGUCGCCUUUGUGGGAAGACAGCAUUCGUGGUGCAAGUCAGCAUUGCAAGGAGGACACUAUGUUUAUCAAUUUCUUUGGAAGAGGAGAAGGAGAGGGAGGAAAAGAAGAAGACAAAAGAGAAUACGGGAAUGAGAGAGAGAGAGAAAAGGAACAGGCUUAUGCCCCUUUUGGUCUCCAAGGAGGAGGAUCUUCAUUAACCCCCAGGAAAGAAGCAGAGGACACAGGAAGAAAGGAGGAGAGAGGAAGAGAGGAGAGAGCAGGGCAGAUCGGGGGAGAGGGCCACAGAGCAAUCACAGACCUCAUUAUGAACACUGAAAGACCUGGC